rnacentral:tRNA from 1 species
UGCAGGGGGCGCAGUGGUCAGCGCUGUCAAUUUGCAGUCGGAAGGACUUGGGUUCAAAUCCCAGAUCUGCUG